rnacentral:rRNA from 1 species
GACGAACGCUGGCGGCGUGCUUAACACAUGCAAGUCGAACGGAAAGGCCCUGCUUUUGUGGGGUGCUCGAGUGGCGAACGGGUGAGUAACACGCGAGUAACCUGCCCUUGACUUUGGGAUAACUUCAGGAAACUGGGGCUAAUACCGGAUAGGAGCUCCUGCUGCACGGUGGGGGUUGGAAAGAUUCGGCGGUUGGGGCUGGACUCGCGGCUUAUCAGCUUGAUGGUGGGGUAGUGGCUUACCAAGGCUUUGACGGGUAGCCGGCCUGAGAGGGUGACCAGCCACAUUGGGACUGCGGUACGGCCCAGACUCCUACGGGCGGCAGCGGUGGGGAAUAUUGCGCAAUGGGCGGAAGCCUGAUGCAGCAACGCCGCGUGCGGGAUGACGGCCUUCGGGUUGUAAACCGCUUUCGCCUGUGACGAAGCGUGAGUGACGGUAAUGGGUAAAGAAGCACCGGCUAACUACGUG